UAGGGAAUCUUCCGCAAUGGACGAAAGUCUGACGGAGCAACGCCGCGUGAGUGAAGAAGGAUUUCGGUUCGUAAAACUCUGUUGUUAGGGAAGAAAAAAUGUAUAGUAACUAUAUACAAAAGAGACGGUACCUAACCAGAAAGCCACGGCUAACUACGUGCCAGCAGCCGCGGUAAUACGUAGGUGGCAAGCGUUGUCCGGAAUUAUUGGGCGUAAAGCGCGCGCAGGUGGUUUAGAAAGUCUGAUGUGAAAGCCCACGGCUCAACCGUGGAGGGUCAUUGUAAACUAAUAAUCUUGAGUGCAGGAGAGAAAAGUGGAAUUCCUAGUGUAGCGGUGAAAUGCGUAGAGAUUAGGAGGAACACCGGUUGCGAAAGCGGCUUUUUGGCCUGCAACUAGCUCUGAGGCGCGAAAGCGUGGGGAGCAAACAGG
rnacentral:rRNA from 1 species